rnacentral:tRNA from 1 species
AAAAAAAUCAGCUAAUCUAAGCUAGUGGGUUCAUACCCCAUCAAUAAAGGUCUCAACCCUUUUUUUUUUA